AGUCGAGGGGUAUAGUAGCAAUACUAGAGACCGGCGCACGGGUGCGUAACGCGUAUGCAAUCUACCUUAUACAGAGGGAUAGCCCAGAGAAAUUUGGAUUAAUACCUCAUAGCAUAGCAACUUCGCAUGAAGUCACUAUUAAAGUUCCAACGGUAUAAGAUGAGCAUGCGUCCUAUUAGCUAGAUGGUAAGGUAACGGCUUACCAUGGCUACGAUAGGUAGGGGUCCUGAGAGGGAGAUCCCCCACACUGGUACUGAGACACGGACCAGACUCCUACGGGAGGCAGCAGUGAGGAAUAUUGGACAAUGGGCGCAAGCCUGAUCCAGCCAUGCCGCGUGCAGGAAGACGCAUCUAUGGUGUGUAAACUGCUUUUGUACGGGAAGAAACACUCCCUCGUGAGGGAGCUUGACGGUACCGUAAGAAUAAGGAUCGGCUAACUCCGUGCCAGCAGCCGCGGUAAUACGGAGGAUCCAAGCGUUAUCCGGAAUCAUUGGGUUUAAAGGGUCCGUAGGCGGUUUGGUAAGUCAGUGGUGAAAGCCCAUCGCUUAACGAUGGAACGGCCAUUGAUACUGCCAGACUUGAAUUACUGGGAAGUAACUAGAAUAUGUAGUGUAGCGGUGAAAUGCUUAGA
rnacentral:rRNA from 1 species